rnacentral:rRNA from 1 species
UGGGGAAUCUUCCGCAAUGGGCGAAAGCCUGACGGAGCAACGCCGCGUGAGUGAAGACGGCCUUCGGGUUGUAAAGCUCUGUUAUACGGGACGAAUAGUCUUGUGGUUAAUACCCAUGAGAAGUGACGGUACCGUAAGAGAAAGCCACGGCUAACUACGUGCCAGCAGCCGCGGUAAUACGUAGGUGGCAAGCGUUGUCCGGAAUUAUUGGGCGUAAAGGGCGCGCAGGCGGCUUCUUAAGUCUGUCUUAAAAGUGCGGGGCUUAACCCCGUGAUGGGAUGGAAACUGGGAAGCUCAGAGUAUCGGAGAGGAAAGCGGAAUUCCUAGUGUAGCGGUGAAAUGCGUAGAUAUUAGGAGGAACACCAGUGGCGAAAGCGGCUUUCUGGACGAAAACUGACGCUGAGGCGCGAAAGCCAGGGGAGCGAACGGGAUUAGAUACCCCGGUAGUCCUGGCCGUAAACGAUGAGUACUAGGUGUAGGAGGUAUCGACCCCUUCUGUGCCGGAGUUAACGCAAUAAGUACCCCGCCUGGGGAGUACGGCCGCAAGGUUG